rnacentral:lncRNA from 1 species
AUGAGUGGUGGUGAGUGGGAGGGAGAUUCUGAAGGCAGAAUAUUUCCAACUGUUACUAAUUCUUUUCUUUUGUAUUUUAUUCUUUUCUUUGUUUUAGGAGGAAUGGCCCCCAGGCUCCAAGAGCAAAAUAUCAGUAACCUCAUAUUCAUCAUCUCUUAUACCAUCUUUUCUAAUACCCACAGCAAGCUUGUGAAUUUGGAUGGCUUUUGUUUGGAGAUCUAGAGAGUCAACUUUGACUUGUGAUUUCAAAUGUCGUUUGGACUACAGUCAUUAAGCAACCGAUGAGAAAUAAAAAUUUAAGUGGAUAUUUCUGAGUGAGUAGA